rnacentral:tRNA from 1 species
GCCUUGGUAGCACAGUGGUUAAGUGCUCAGCUGCUAUCUGAAAGGUUGGUGGUUCAAAUCCACCCAGAGGCU